rnacentral:rRNA from 1 species
UACGGAGGGGGCUAGCGUUGCUCGGAAUGACUGGGCGUAAAGGGCGCGUAGGCGGAUGGCACAGUCAGAUGUGAAAUUCCCGGGCUUAACCCUGGAAUUGCCUUUAAGACUGCAUCGCUAGAAUCGUGGAGAGGUGAGUGGAAUUCCGAGUGUAGAGGUGAAAUUCGUAGAUAUUCGGAAGAACACCAGUGGCGAAGGCGACUCACUGGACACGUAUUGACGCUGAGGUGCGAAAGCGUGGGGAGCAAACAGG